CUUAUGCAUACUGACUUCAGACUUUCAGCUGAGCUGCCUUUCCUGAGUGUCCUGUAGUCAGAAAUUACAAUCCAGAUUCUCUCCUUGAAGCAGGGAAACCUCCACCCUGUCUAACAUCAUCCUGUCUCUAUGGAAACAAGUGCACUGCUACAAUUUCUGCAUUGGGGGGAAACAGAAGAAAUCUCAAGAAAAUAAAUGGCAACUGCUGUUUUCUUAUUUCCCAAGACUGUCCCAGACAGCCUGAUCAGAAACAGUUGUGUGGGGCAGGAAGAUUUAAGCAGUAACCUUUAAUGCAUUGGAGAAUACUUCACGCUUGAACUUUCAAAGUUACCCAGCUGUCUACUAUGGAAAAGGACCUCCUCCAAUUCAGGGUGAUUCUGAAUCACCCCAGCUGCCGUGCAUUUUCCUACCCCAGGUCUUCAAAAACAUUUGGAGAGCUCCUUGUGGUCUUUGAGCAGUGGUAAGAAUUUAGUGUUGAGCAGUGGUAAGAAUUUAGUGUUGAUCUAAACUAGUUAAAAGUCUCUGCAGUACAGAUAAUGUUCCACACACAACAGGAAAUUGAGGGGGAUCUUUCACAGCCUUGCAUCUUGGGAGAAUCAGAUUAGAUAAACAAGGUCUUCAAAUGAGCAAACAAAAAUUUUGCUGAUUGCAUGGGAAUGGGGCUGCAGAGUUAAAUUUUCCAGUAGUAGUAUCAUAUCAGCUCUGUCUUCUUCUGGGGUGUUGCAUUUAAAAAG